GCCUGGGUGGCUCAGUCGGUUGAGCGUCCGACUUCGGCUCAGAUCGUGAUCUCACGGUCCAUGGGUUCGAGCCCCGCGUCGGGCU
rnacentral:tRNA from 1 species